GCGGCUAUAGCUCAAUUGGUAGAGCGUCCAUUAACUCUGUGACCCACUGAUUUACUUUGCUACAUGGAGGUUGAGAGUUCGAACCUCUCUAGCCACG